rnacentral:rRNA from 1 species
GUGAACGCUGGCGGUAGGCCUAACACAUGCAAGUCGAACGGCAGCACAGUAAGAGCUUGCUCUUACGGGUGGCGAGUGGCGGACGGGUGAGGAAUACAUCGGGAUCUACUUUUUCGUGGGGGAUAACGUAGGGAAACUUACGCUAAUACCGCAUACGACCUACGGGUGAAAGCAGGGGAUCUUCGGACCUUGCGCGAUUGAAUGAGCCGAUGUCGGAUUAGCUAGUUGGCGGGGUAAAGGCCCACCAAGGCGACGAUCCGUAGCUGGUCUGAGAGGAUGAUCAGCCACACUGGAACUGAGACACGGUCCAGACUCCUACGGGAGGCAGCAGUGGGGAAUAUUGGACAAUGGGCGCAAGCCUGAUCCAGCCAUACCGCGUGGGUGAAGAAGGCCUUCGGGUUGUAAAGCCCUUUUGUUGGGAAAGAAAAGCAGCAGGUUAAUACCCCGCUGUUCUGACGGUACCCAAAGAAUAAGCACCGGCUAACUUCGUG